AGCCUAUCGAACAUGUCGGGACAUCGGGUGCAGUUCGCGGACCAGCUUCCUUCCACUGACCGCAAAGCCAGCCCCAACUUACACAGAACCAUCAACACGGCUAGCUAGCCUAUCUUCAAAGAGGCAUCUUCCAGAGCGAAUGGAAGGAGAAUCAACUCUGUAGUUCUGUUCAGGACUACACGUCAAGUCACCGGAUACCGGACAACUGCAGAGGAGAACAACAGUAGAAUAUUUGUUGAACCAUUUUGGGACAAUCGGAGCCUUACAAGCGUGCCACGAAAAGGCAUUUUCAUGUAAAUACAUUAACGAUUUCUUAUUCCAAGCGGGCGGCAGUUCGUGUGCAAAGUAUAAGACUACUCUAAGUGAGAGUAGUUUCUAAAUGUACCAACGUUAAGUGUCUCUGUCCCUCCCCUCUCUCUCUCUCUCUCUCUCUCUUGCCCUCCAUGUCUUUUGUAAAAAGCAGCCAUAUUGUUGUCAGUCCGCUAGGGACCUGUUUUUAAUGUAUUACGUGUGUAUAUUUAUCAUGUGUUACCAUUUAAUUAGCUAGGAAAUAAAUAAUUAAACCAA